UACGAAGGGGGCUAGCGUUGCUCGGAAUCACUGGGCGUAAAGGGCGCGUAGGCGGAUCUUUAAGUCGGGGGUGAAAGCCCAGGGCUCAACCCUGGAAUUGCCUUCGAUACUGGAGAUCUUGAGACCGGAAGAGGUAAGUGGAACUGCGAGUGUAGAGGUGAAAUUCGUAGAUAUUCGCAAGAACACCAGUGGCGAAGGCGGCUCACUGGCCCGAUACUGACGCUGAGGUGCGAAAGCGUGGGGAGCAAACAGG
rnacentral:rRNA from 1 species